UGAAGAGGUGACCAACAAGGA
rnacentral:siRNA from 1 species